rnacentral:rRNA from 1 species
AGCGAACGCUGGCGGCAGGCUUAACACAUGCAAGUCGAGCGGGCAUAGCAAUAUGUCAGCGGCAGACGGGUGAGUAGCGCGUGGAAACGUACCUUUUGGUUCGGAACAACUGAGGGAAACUUCAGCUAAUACCGGAUAAGCCCUUACGGGGAAAGAUUUAUCGCCGAAAGAUCGGCCCGCGUCUGAUUAGCUAGUUGGUGAGGUAAUGGCUCACCAAGGCGACGAUCAGUAGCUGGUCUGAGAGGAUGAUCAGCCACAUUGGGACUGAGACACGGCCCAAACUCCUACGGGAGGCAGCAGUGGGGAAUAUUGGACAAUGGGCGCAAGCCUGAUCCAGCCAUGCCGCGUGAGUGAUGAAGGCCCUAGGGUUGUAAAGCUCUUUUGUGCGGGAAGAUAAUGACGGUACCGCAAGAAUAAGCCCCGGCUAACUUCGUGCCAGCCGCCGCAGUAA